UCCCCAGGGGGGGUCCCCCGAAUGCUCCGGCUUCUUACCCCAUACAAAAAAACAAAACAAAAACGUGCAAUUGGGUCCCGAGAAGACUCUCUGUUGUGAAUUUACCAUUCAGCUCCUUGUCAGUGAAGAACCAAUUGGGCAAAAAGUCCUGAAACGGUGACUAGAUCGACAAAUUCAGAAGUUUCGAUUUAGUUGACCUUGAAGGGUUAUAGUGCAGAUUAGAUGGAACUAGGAUUUACUGAAAGAAGUGUCCAGUAAGUGUAUGUGCAGUAUAUAGAUUAUGUCAGCAUGUUGUGUUGCUUUAUUACAUUAAGUGUUCCUCUGAGGAUGUCUGGGUGGAUCUUUCUUCUGACUGACGUCACAUGAUGAGUGCAUUGUUUGUACAUAACAAUAAUAGCGCAUGCAGUGACUUCUUGCGGCCGGCGUAAAUCAGGCGUGGUCUCCGGCUAAUGACAGAUAAUAACCUCGGCGAUCCCCACCACACGUCCCAAACCGAGCUCUCUACUCAUUUGGAAGUGAUCUGAGGCUUGAGGGAUAACUUGCUGGAAAAGCUUCCAGAAGGUGAACAUUCCUUCUUCCCAUCCUGCUGUCAGUGUCAUCUCAGGCCUGCGUGGCUUCACUGCUUGUCUGGGCUUGCAGUAAGCAUAAGCCCUCCCCGUCACAUCGCCUCUACCUCAUGCUUGGCUAAGCCCCAUCUUGGACCUCUCACCGUUUAUUUUAAGUACCCCGGAGGGUGUUUUUUUUCCUGUUUGGAGCCCAGCUAUGCGGACCCAAAGAGGUGGUGUCACCGCGGAGGAUCAUCAUCAACAUUCAGGUCAUCCCAUUAGCUCCGACGCACUCCUUAUUUUGGCCACGCAGUCAGGGAUGCCCCGGCAUCACCUCUUGGAUUCAGCGAGUCAUUUGAGAUGCGUCAUGCUUGCGUCUGUCUUCUCCAGUCCAGGAUGUAUUACAGAGUACAGUAAUAUAGAUGUAUCUCCUAUGUAAAAACCCAUUAUUAUUAAAGGCAUAAACUCAUAACAUUCUGCUAAUACAAUAAUCAUUUAAUUUUAGGAUAAAAGUCCCCCCGCCUCUCAAUCAACUCCAAAGUGUUUUUUUGUUUUUGUUUUGUUUUUUUCGAACACAUUCAAAGAUAAGCUUUGGGUAUUGUGUUAACAUCUGUAGGAAUUGUGACAUCCACCCUUUUAAACUAUAUUCUUUUUCCCGGAAACUGCAACUUUCUCUUUGUGAUAACACGUUUUUGUAAGAGUACAAAUGUAUUAGAUUUUUUAAAAUGUACUUUUUCUUGUUAUAUUAAAAAAAUAUAUAU